rnacentral:piRNA from 1 species
UAACCAACAAAGGGCCUCUCUGGUUUGAA